GAGAGAAAGGGGCGGAGCUUGGAGCUUUUUUAAAGGGGCUGAGUCUUAUUAUUUUGUGGCUUUUGAUACUCUCUACUGGAUAAUGCUGCGGCCCGCCCUGCUUUUUCCCUAUCCUUCUUUUGCUCCUCACCAAUUCCCCGCUCUUCGCCUGUGGUCUCCCCCCUCCUCCCCCCCGCCAUCCCCAGCAGGUGGGAAACAAGAAAAGACGGAUGACCUGGGGCCCUUUUUAAGUAGACAUUUAGGGAGGAGCCCCUUGAUCCACGUUCCAUUCUGAGGUUCUGGGGUAGAAGGUGUGAGUCCCAAGGCUGAGGAUCUGAAGCAAAGGAGGGACCUGAAGAGGGACCUUACUGCCGCCCCUUACACACGCACGCACACGCACACGCACGCACGCUACUCUUUUCGCCUUCUCCCGCAGCCACCAUCCCUAUUACAGAACAAUCUGAUGUUUUAGUGAGUUAAUCGACAUAGCUCAUGACUUUCUCCAGAUUUAUUCUUCAGGAAAUGAAUUAGGAGAAAAGGAAUAAGAUGGUGGAAGCAGUCCAGGGUUACUGAAUUUGGCAAUGAGUAUAAGUAAUAUAUAAUUAUGAUACAUAAUUUUCUUGCUUAUAAAUAAUAGGGCAAGGAGGCAAGAAUUGAGUGAAGAGGUAUAGUAUUAGUAUAGUUAUAGUAUAGUUACAGUAGUAGUAGUGCACUGAUAGUAUACGGUUGAACUGAUUCCCAAAGGGAUUGAGAUAGUGAAGAUUGGAAAAUAUGAUUUGUAGCCUGAGAUAAUGAUCUGGGAAAGGGAGGACAAAGAAUAGUGUUAGAGAUCCUAAGGAAGAAGAAAGAUGGAAUAAAAAAGAAUUAUGAUUAAAUAAAAAAAAUUUCAGAGUUCAUGAACUCUAAAGUAGAACACUGUAAGGCCAAUGGUUACAACUAUCUGUGGCUAUUUGAGGGGAAAUGUAGGAGCAGACCAUGGCAAAUAGAUGGAGGAAUUGGGAAGUUUGGGUACUUGAAGGAACAUCAAUAUGUAUAAUAUUAUUAUUAAUAAUAAUAAAUAUAAGAGUUGAGAAAUUAAUUUCAUUAUUUCUUACAGAGAGAUAAAACACUAGGUUUUAAGCAUUGAUGGGGUACAGCUUCUAAGAGACGUGUAGCAAUAAUCCUAAAGCCACCUAGCUUUAGGAGUAAUGUAGUUAAAAAUAAUAUAUUUCUGCCCCUAGCUUCUAGGGGAGAUGAAGUGAUAACCCAAGUUCCUCUGGCCUUAGUAGUGAUAUAGUUCUACCUUUAUUGCAGGCUGUCAGAUAACAAUCUGUUAGUCAAUAAUUACAGAGUUUCUGAGACAAUAAUGAGGUGCAUACCAGACCACUUCUCAAAUCCACCUAUAAGCCAUAAAAUUAGCAUAUCAGUGAUAUGAAGAACCUGGUUUCUAACUUUUUUCUUCAGUUUUAUCUUCUUGCUCCUUGGUCUUUGCUAAAUUCUUUUGGAACUUAGCCUGCUGUAAUUGGCAUUAGUUAAAAUAAACUUUGCUCCUUGACGUGGAGAUGGGUUCGAGCCUGCAAAUUCUUUUGAAACACCUCCAGACACCAGUCUGGAACACCAACCUUUGAUGGCCCUGUAUAGGGAGAAUCUGCUUUCCCCUGACUUCACCCCCUCCAUGUCAAGAUUAAGAAAAGAGAAUGCUGAAGAAUUGUAGAGAGAUUCAAAUUCUGCCCCACCUAUAGAAAUGGAGGAAGCAGCAACAGCAAUGGUGACCCCACACACCUUGCCCAAGCACUUCUCCAACUCAGUUUGAGGGGUGGGGGGUGAGAAUGGGGAUCAUGCUUCAUGGUCAGCAUUGCCUGAGUCCUGGCACCUGAAACUGAGAGUCUGGCACCAGCUACCCCAGCCACCAGCCUCUGCUUUUGGGAGUCAGACUUCUGAGGACCCAAUCAGUAAAAACUGGCACUUAUCCCUUUCCUGGCUCAAAAAAAAAGAAAUGGUUUGUAUGAAUUGGAAAAUUACCAGAUGGCAAUUCAAUUUGUCUGGAAUAUUUAAUUAUAAUUUAGGGAAUCUCAUAAAUUAAAGUUAAAAUUUAAAUUACUUUUAAAAUAGUGUGUAUGUUAAAAUUGGAAACCUGAUUGUACAUUAUAUGAGACUCAUUCGUUUUUCAUGAUUCUGCUCUAUCUCAGUUUUUAAAAUUGUCUUGUUUUCUCCCUAAAACAAAAGGUAAAAUUAUUUAAGGGAACAGGAGGGGAAGCCAGAACCCUCCCGAGAACUUCCAAAGCUACAGUAGCCUAGAGACAGAAUAAGCUGAACAACUAAAAGGUGGAAAGUUCAUUUAUUUAUAUAUUUAUUUUUCUUUCUUUCUUUCUUUCCUUUUUAAAUUGUAACUUUUUAUUGACAGAACAUAGCCUGGGUAAUUUUUUUUACGACAUUAUCCCUUGUGCUCACUUCUGUUCCAACUUAUCCCUUCCCUCCCUCCACGUCUUCCCCUAGA